AUACGGAGGAUCCGAGCGUUAUCCGGAUUUAUUGGGUUUAAAGGGUGCGCAGGCGGGAUGUUAAGUCGGCGGUGAAAUUUUGCAGCUCAACUGUAAAAGUGCCUUCGAUACUGGCUUCCUUGAGUGUGGAUGAAGUAGGCGGAAUUUGUGGUGUAGCGGUGAAAUGCUUAGAUAUCACGAGGAACUCCGAUUGCGCAGGCAGCUUACUAAACCACUACUGACGCUCAUGCACGAAGGCGUGGGGAUCAAACAGGAUUAGAUACCCUGGUAGUCCACGCAGUAAACGAUGAUUACUAGUUGUUUGCGAUACAAUGUAAGCGACUGAGCGAAAGCGUUAAGUAAUCCACCUGGGGAGUACGUUCGCAAGAAUGAA
rnacentral:rRNA from 1 species